rnacentral:rRNA from 1 species
GACAGAGGUGCCGAGCGUUAGGCGGAAUCACUGGGCUUAAAGCGUGUGUAGGCGGGCGAUCAAGUACCUUGUGAAAUCCCACGGCUCAACCGUGGAACCGCUGGGUAUACUGGUUGUCUUGAGUCGGCUAGGGGCGAGCGGAACAGACGGUGGAGCGGUGAAAUGCGUAGAUAUCGUCUGGAACGCCGAAGGUGAAAACAGCUCGCUGGGGCCGCGCUGACGCUGAGACACGAAAGCCAGGGGAGCGAACGGG